GCUCUUGCUCCCUCACCUGCUUGCCGUGUGGGACUGAGUAACUGCAAGAUCCUUGGACUUCCAUUCACAGCUACUACUGAACCGUUGUUGGGAAUUGGACUGCAGACUGUAAGUCAUCAAUAAAUUCCUUUACUAUAUAGAGUCUAUCCAUAAGUUCUGUGACUCUAGAGAACCCUAAUACAGAAGUUGGUACCAGGAGUGGUUCUAGAUUAACAGAAGUACAAGGAUGAAUCUUUUAAAAUACUGGAAUUGGCUUGUUGAUCCACCAGCACUUUCAAAUACUGAAACCUCUCCAGAUUCUCUCCUUCCUGGAAGCUCAGAGAAUUUUGAAGACCCAUGGUUGAAACUAUAUUUCAAACUUAAAGAAGCUAAUGCCCUUGAUUUUCUUGAUGAAUUAGGUGAUUCAGUGUACAAAACUUUCUACAAGAUGGGGGAAAAAUUGAAAAAUUAUUUUACUGGCUGGCUGCUCUUAGCAUCUGGGGAAAAAUGAAAGGAAGGAGUUAUGUGAUAAAAUCGAAAGGCUCCAGACACAAGUAAACGAUCUAAAAGUUGCUAAGUGUGUCCUUGAAGAGAAUCUCCUCUCUUGCAGCAAUAGAGCUCAAGUUGCAGAAAAUCAAACUGAAACCCUCAUUGUAAGGUUGGCUGAACUACAGCGAAAAUUCAAGUCUUGCCCUCAGAGUGUGUUGACAGUUAAAUUAAGGGCACUAAUUGGCAAAGAAUGGGAUCCUAUAACUUGGAAUGGGGAUGGGUGGGAAGACCAUGUUGAAGCUGAGAAUUUUGAAUCUUCAGGUUCUCAAGGGUUUGCCCCACCUGAGGAAGUAUUAUUGGGAAUUGGACUGCAGACUAAGUCAUCAAUAAAUUCCUUUACUAUAUAGAGGCUAUCCAUAAGUUCUGUGACUCUAGAGAAUCCUAACUAAUACACAUGGUAACAGCUUGAAGGACUUCCUGGUCAUACUUUCACCCUUAGGCAUUUGAUGGGAUGCUGACCUGGGACUGUCCCAGUUUUCAUUGUGACUUAAAGGCAGGAAUAAGUGAGCAGGUGCAAAAUACCGCGUAUCCCUGAAGGAAAUCCUUGGAUGUAAUGAGUGUGAGGCAUAGGAAACUGCAACAAAGGCACCACCCAGGUGCUUGUUAGGAAUGCAGAUACCUAGUCCUUGCCAGGCCUCUUGAACCCUAUCUUGCAUGUUAGCAGCAUACCCCAGGGAAUUCUCAUGCCAAGAGCAUGCUAAGAAAUCAAGCUACACCAUCACUAAGUUCUCUCAUCUACACUGGAUUAGAAGGUUGGACAAGAAAAUGAAGAGCAGAGGCAUUUUCUUGGACUGUGCUAUUGGAGGGCACAGCAUCUCUCUGUCCUUUACAUAACUAUAGUCAAAAAGGGAAGUUUGGAGAAUUUGCCUGACUUAUCUCUCUUUUAAUUGAUGAAAAAAAUCAGAAAGCAAAAGGCUGGUCUACGUGGCCAUGGCUGUAUAAUAAAGCUGUAGUGAUAGACAGAAAACUGCACGCAAAUCAACUUUAAGGUUAGUGCAGGUUUUUUUUUUCCUUGUAGAUUAAAUAUAAGCCAUGAAGCAGGGAACAUCCUGUAGCUGUGUGAAUCUUGCCCAAGUGAGACACCAUUGUGAAGAUACACUCAGAGAUAGCUUAUGAGGACCUCGAUGGCAAAGGCCAAAGGUGGAAUCAGAGUAGCCCCUGGUUGGAGAUGGGUCAGAGAUCCUAGCAUAGAACCUACUGUUAUUAUACUACAAAAUAGACAUAGUAUUAAACUAAUCCCCAAUUAUUACAUUUCCGUAUCUGACAGCCUCCAUGAACUAAGCUUCUCUUUGCAGUAGACGAUGAUUAACACCGAGAUCCACAGCUGCCCAAGGUGCAGAGAAUAAAAGGUUGAAAAC
rnacentral:lncRNA from 1 species